rnacentral:rRNA from 1 species
GAUGAACGCUGGCGGCGUGCCUAAUACAUGCAAGUAGAACGCUGAAGCUUGGUGCUUGCACCGAGCGGAUGAGUUGCGAACGGGUGAGUAACGCGUAGGUAACCUGCCUCUUAGCGGGGGAUAACUAUUGGAAACGAUAGCUAAUACCGCAUAAAAGUCGAUAUCGCAUGAUAUUGAUUUGAAAGGUGCAAAUGCAUCACUAAGAGAUGGACCUGCGUUGUAUUAGCUAGUUGGUGAGGUAACGGCUCACCAAGGCGACGAUACAUAGCCGACCUGAGAGGGGGAUCGGCCACACUGGGACUGAGACACGGCCCAGACUCCUACGGGAGGCAGCAGUAGGGAAUCUUCGGCAAUGGGGGCAACCCUGACCGAGCAACGCCGCGUGAGUGAAGAAGGUUUUCGGAUCGUAAAGCUCUGUUGUAAGAGAAGAACGAGUGUGAGAGUGGAAAGUUCACACUGUGACGGUAACUGAACAGAAAGGGACGGCUAACUACGUG